rnacentral:tRNA from 2 species
GCAGAUGUAGUUCAAUGGUAGAACACGACCUUGCCAAGGUCGUUACGUCGGUCCGAUUCCGAUCAUCUGCUCCA